rnacentral:rRNA from 1 species
GAUGAACGCUGGCGGCGUGCCUAAUACAUGCAAGUCGAGCGAAUGGAUUAAGAGCUUGCUCUUAUGAAGUUAGCGGCGGACGGGUGAGUAACACGUGGGUAACCUGCCCAUAAGACUGGGAUAACUCCGGGAAACCGGGGCUAAUACCGGAUAACAUUUUGAACCGCAUGGUUCGAAAUUGAAAGGCGGAUUCGGCUGUCACUUAUGGCUGGACCCGCGUCGCAUUAGCUAGUUGGUGAGGUAACGGCUCACCAAGGCAACGAUGCGUAGCCGAACUGGGAGGGGGAUCGGCCACACUGGGACUGAGACCAGGACCAGACUCCGACGGGAGGCAGCAGUAGGGAAUCUUCCGCAAUGGACGAAAGUCUGACGGAGCAACGCCGCGUGAGUGAUGAAGGCUUUCGGGUCGUAAAACUCUGUUGUUAGGGAAGAACAAGUGCUAGUUGAAUAAGCUGGCACCUUGACGGUACCUAACCAGAAAGCCACGGCUAACUACGUGCCAGCAGCCGCGGUAA